GGCGGGCCGUUCGAACGGCGCUGCCGCUGCUGGCGGCGCUCGGGCCGGGCUCUGGGCGCUGCGGGCUCGCUGUGCCCCCGGGCAGCCCGACGCAACACAGCCCGCCCGGGCAGCUCCGGCCCGGCCUCCCCCGGCCCGGCCUCCCCCCUCUCCGCAGCGCCCGAGGCGCAGGCAAGGCUCCCUUCCCGACGGGACAGGCCGCGCUGCUCCUCCGCCGCCGCUCCGGGACAGACAAUGGGCGAGCAGGGUCCUGGGGAAACGUGGCCUCGCCACACUGCGGAGCAGUGCCCUUCCCUGGCUCAGCGCCCAGUGCCAACAGAACACCUUGCAGGAUCCUCAGCAGCGCAGACAACACUCCAAGAUGCCGGCCUCGGCUUGGAACGGAGCGGUGUCAUGGCGGAGACGACGGCCUUUGUCUCGCAGGGUGUGAAAGCAUCCGUUGUGCUGGCUCCACUGCGGCAGAAUGAUGUCUAAAGGGGGGAAAAGUGCUGGAAGUCCGAGUAGUGCGGCGCUGGCGGGGGAGCCCCAUCCCCAUGGUGCGCGUCCGAGGAAGGGCUCUCGGCGGAGGAGCCUGCUGGAUGCUCAAGAGCAGAGGAUCUAUCAACUGCAGACCAAGCAGAGGGAGAGGCAGGCAGACCUGGAGCAGAAAUGCAGCCAGAGCAGCAGCUCAGCCAGGACCCGGGGGCCAGCCACCAGCUACGGAAGGGAGCUUGGAGCAGGUAGGAGAAGAUACCAGUCCACUCGAGCUCAGCAGCCCAGGCUGAGAAGGGAACUCUACUUGCUGCAUUCAUAGCAGUAAUAAUAAUCUGCUGCUCUUGUUUACAUGGCAGCAUAAGGAAGGGCUGAAGAUGUGACGGUAGAGUCUGUCGCCUCCCAGUGAGGAGGGAAGAUGGGAGGCAGCAGGGAGAUGGCUACAGCUCUGCUGGCUGUUAAUGGGUGGUGGGAUUUCAGUGGCUGUGGGGGUGUGAUGGCUGUCAUGCACAGAUGUUGUGGGUGUUGCUCUGCUGCUGACCUUGGAGAGACAAGAAGAGGAUGGCCACAAAAACACUGCCUCGGGGCAGAGCUGUCCUGGCUAGUGGUGACAUUUACAUGCUGUGAGCCAGGAGAUUAGGAUUGCUCAGACCUGUUCAGCCAUGCUGCUGUGGACAAAACCCUCAGCUUGCUCCUGGACAUCAGGGUGGGAGCACCCUUGUUCCUGCUGCAGGCCUGCUGGGCAGCCUGUGCCUGUCUACCCCAUGCUGGGUCUGUUUGCCCCUGCCCUACCACCCACCCCUGUAUUUCAAAAGCUGUAGAGUCAGAUCCUUUGCUCAGUGUGCGCCCCUGUGUGUGAGCCUGGCUUGGGAAAGCACAUUGCUCCCACCUCUGCAGCCAUCAGCCUGUCUGCCACAUGGCAAACAAGGAUGAGGAGAGCUGAUCCUGGAAGCCUGGGGAACUCCUGCUGCUGCACACUGCAGCAUUACUUACUUAACCUGGUAUCCACUUGCCAUUCCCUUCAGCACCACACACGCCAUUAAAAAUGUGUCUAUUUUAACAACUUGCUAGUGAAAUAUGCUUGGGGUUCUGGUAGAAUAAACGAGGUAUUUUUGACAUUGGAGCACCAGGUACCAGCAUAUUGGAUGCUCAGCACUUCUGGUUUGUCUAAAGCAGCUCAGAGGACAUAAUUUAAAAUAGAGUUGGGGGGUGUCCCCUUUAUUGGUCAAAGUGGAGACAUUUUGUUUCAUUUGAUGUGGUGAUGAUAAAUAUAUUCCUAUGAAUAUGUUAAUAUAUCUAUAUCUAUUCUAUAUCAUAUAUGUUCAUAUAUCAAUACAUACAUUGCAAUAUAUAUGGACACAAUGCACUGAUUACAUUUAUUGAAUUUGAAGGAAAGUUACAAGGUGUUGUUCUAUUUACUCGCACAUCAUCCAUUGUUCUGUGUGUGAGGAGUCAGCCCAGCAUGUGGGCUGAGCUGCGCGUGGCAAGCCCGCAUUCCAACUGCCCACAGUGAAGGUGGGAGCAGGACGUGCCUUUGUCUGUGUUUGUGGAUGGUGGCAGAUGGAUGAAUGUGGGAGAGGGUCAGCAAGUGCCUUUGUUUUGUUCUGCAUAUGCAUAUGGAUGAUUGUGUGUUGAUUUGUGCAAAGACAGCAUGGCAGGGUAGGAAUGCUACUCUGCUUCUUCCCUUCCCUUCCCUUCCCUUCCCUUCCCUUCCCUUCCCUUCCCUUCCCUUCCCUUCCCUUCCCUUCCCUUCCCUUCCCUUCCCUUCCCUUCCCUUCCCUUCCCUUCCCUUCCCUUCCCUUCCCUUCCCUUCCCUUCCCUUCCCUUCCCUUCCCUCUAUGGUUAACCUUAAGUCUCUGGCCAAAAAGAAAGCAGUAUUCUAAGACAAAGGAUAAAACCCAAGGGAAACAAAGUUGAGACCAUAUUGCUGCUGCAUAGAAAGCUUCAUUAGCCCCGUUGGCAUAGCAGUCAUGAGAGAAAAAAGCCCAGAACAGUAGGAGUGAUGUGAAGGAACUGACUGCCAGGGGAGGAUGUCAUGCAUUUGCCAUCUCUUGAUGUCUUCAAGCCCAGCCAAAUGCCUGUCUGAAGCUAUCUUAGUCAGAAAAGUUACUGAUUUCAGAGUAACAGGGAAAUUUUCAUGACUGUAGGUACUGGAGGUCAGGCAGCCCAAUCCCUUCCUGCUCACCCCGGGAAUCUGCAGGAAGGAAAUGCAAAGGAGGAUCACAAGAACAUGAUGUUAUUUGUGCUCUUGGAUAGGAGUUCACACCAGCACUGAUUCAUCUGGCUACAUCGGCAUUCCACAGCAUUACUCAGCCCCUCAGGUGGGCAAACACUCGGGGGUAGAUCUGUCUGGAAGAGGCCAGGUCUGCUGACCUUAUAUAAUUUAUUCCUUUCUUCAGAUGUUUAGCAGCUGUCCCCAGUCUCCAAGGUAUGACACAGCCAGGUGGUCCUAACCUUGCUGAAGAUCCGGGGCAUUUGCACCAUUUUUCUCACAAGAUCUCACUGCAGUCUCAGCUGCUGUAGCUCUGUUCCUCCUCAGGAAUUAGGCUUGGGGCUCUGCUAGAAUAAAAUCAGAUGAAGAUGGAGAGAUAGAUCUGUGGAAACGUUUGUUUGGUGCCCAGGAGCAGCCCAAAAGGCAAACUGACUGUUAACAAUUAUGAAGAAAAUAAUGGGGACCAGAUCACAGUUCUGCCAAUGAACAGAUUCAUAGUGAAAGCUGUACUGUGAUUUCUAUAUGCAGCUGUCUGCCUCUCUCAAGAAAAAGAUUUGGAAGUGUUUCAGAGAAGACCAACAAGGAUGAUAAAAUACAAAGAAUAUUUUCCAUGUGAGUAAAAAGUGGAUAGUAUUUUUAGGCUGGAAAAAAAUAGACUGAAGGGGAUUAUAGUACAAAGUUUAGCAAAUAGACGUUGCCUGCAGUAUGAUUUCUCGCCAUCCCUUCAAUGUAAGAACCAGCAGCACCCCAUAAAUUAGCAGGUAAUAACAAAAAAAGCAAAAACCAGAUAUUUUUUGAACAUUGUGCUGUGUCAGACUGCUUCACACAGGGUGUGGUGCACCCCCAAAGCUCAUAUGUAUUCAAAAAUAAAUAAAACAUUUUAAUGGGAGAAAAUAUCCACUCACAUUGAUGGCAUGCAAGAGCCCAUUUCUGCUUCCGGAGCCCAUGGGCUGCAGGUGGCUGAGGCUGGCAGAGUGUUCCUGGAAGCACUGUGGGACCUGUGGCCUCUGUACCCCAGCAUGGAUGCACCAACCAGACUCCAGGAACAAAUCACCAAAGUGCACAGUCUUCUAGAACAGCCCACCAGUGGAGAAAUAGAAAACAGGUUUUUUGUAGCUAUACUGGAACUUCACAGUUGAUUUUAAGUCUCUUAGACAGUAUAAUACUGACUGCAAGUUCCUGCUGAGGGCUAUCGACUCCAGCCUGUGCCAAGCUGCAGGGAACACCCUGUGCCAUGCCUGCGUGUGAUGGAGCAUGUCUCUGCACCAACAGUGUGACUGACUCAGAUCAGAAACCAGCUUCCUGGGAUUUCCCACCAGCAUCCUUUCACACUGCCAUCCGGCAGCAGAGAUCUGUGCAUCCACCAGGUGACAGGCACCAGAAGACAGCAUCAUCUUCAAACCACACGGAGGGAUUAGUGCAGGCUGGAAGCAGCCCCGUGCUGCCCUCUGUCCAGGGUGGGACACACUGCCUGGUGGGCUGUGUGGAAGGAGGGGGCUUGCACUGCAGAGGUGGCUUUCCCAGGUUGUGUGCUUGUAAGCAGACACCGUGGCAAACAAUUUGAAUGUUGUAGUGUAACUCCUAAUCUGGUUCUUUUGAAGCACCUGCUGUUGUGCUAAGGAAUGUCUGCAUGAUGGAAUGCAAGGCUAUACCUUAAGUACUUCAAAUUAAUUGAGAGCAGUAGUGUUUCAUGCUGUGGGACCACAUCGAGGCCACUGACUAUUUACAGUGCUGUAGGUAAGAGCUGCAGGCAGCAUGGAUUGUGUGGGCAGGAUGGGCAGGACGGACAGGAGGGCCAGUGUGGGCCGUGCAGACCAGGCACCAGAGCAGCAGCUGACAAAGGUCAGCUGUGUGGUGCUGUUUUGUUAUUACUUCAGGCAGCAUCUCUGCUUCGUCACACGCUUCCUAUUCUGUGACACACUGCUCUCAGCAGUGAUUCAGCAGUUACAGAUUCUCCAUUUUUUUAUCAAGGUUAAUUCCCCAUCACCAUUAUUUUUGCAUACCUUCUACUGCAAGAAUGAAGAGGCCAGUACUGAGCAGCAGUGAAUGCUCAACCAGCAUAGUAACCAGCCAAAUUCCAUAUUAGCAGCAUGGUUUAAAUACCCAGCCUGCUUCUACAUGGUGAUCAAUAACACAGUGGAAGGGAAUGGAAGGGGCCCCUGCUCCAGUUGGGUAAUGCUCCCCUAUUUCUGGAGUUUGUAAGCACAAUAUCAAAAUUACAAAGCACAACACUUUCCAUUUCUUGCUAUCAUUUUGAAUUAAAGACUUUCUAUUGAAGACACUCACUUCAAAAACCAGCUAGGCACUUUCUAAUAUCAAGCAAAAUGCCUGAAGAAUAAAUUGCUCCUAUCAGAAAUAAAGCAUUUUAGUUCUGCCAGAAGCAGAGAGAUCUGUGUUUGUAAGUCCCUCCAAAGGCAACUCCAUCUUUCCUGUUUUCCUCUCAUUUUCUUUUGAUGCACGAAGCCUGCACAUUGCAGUGCUGUGAUUGGAUUCAGCUUUGGAGCAGUGUAAUGGUAAAUAUUCAUUGGAAUCCAAGCUAGUUUUCCCAAGUCUCU
rnacentral:lncRNA from 14 species